rnacentral:lncRNA from 1 species
AAUAUUUGCAAACCUUAAAGACAAGUAAUAGAGACUAGAAGAAAAUGAUUCAGUAAUCAGAUCACAGUGUUUUAGCUUCUCAGUGAAUGUUGCUGGACUCGGGGAAAUUUAUAGUUUAGUUUUCUACAGGGCUACUUUCCAUGGGUGUAACUGAUUUGCAUAACUUUCCUAUGCAUGGUCAUUAGGUUUCUCUUUCCCAGCUUCCAUGUACAUUUUUUAAUAACUUAAUAAGCACUGACAUGCAGGAGAGAAUUCAUGCAUAUGUCUUUGGUGACACCCUCCGUGGGACUCUCACACCAGACCUGACAGAAGAUAAUGUGGGCCCUGGUCAGAAGACUUGGUGAUUUACGCUUAGCCAGAGAGCCCCUUCUCCAUGCCUACCGUGGGUCCGGCACGUGGUGGGCCUUCCACACAUAUCUGUGGGCUGAUGGAUGGGGUUAACCAUCUGUGAACUGAGUGGACUGGAGCUGAUGAACUUCCUAUCAGGGGAAGAAGCCGGGCUUUUGCAUUUCUGUACCAGCCCUCGUUGGCCAAAGGCCCCUCCAGGGGCUAUGGCCCCCAGCACUUGGCAUUCUCGGCAGUGGCUCCAGCUGCUAGGCCCUGCAGAGAGUGGGGGCACACUGACUGGUAAGAACACAGAAACCAGGGGAGAGGCCCAGAAAUGGCUACAGACAUCUGAGGACACCAACAGCAUCCAGCAUCUUCCCGCUCUGCAGCUGUAGAAAUGUGACCAUGUGUCCACAUUUGCACAUGCAAAAAGUCACAUUUGGAGAAUCCUGAGGGGCACCCUUGUCAUAUAUUUGUCUUUAGUAAAUAUGGCUUUGCUCCCAGGAAAUACAUUUUUCCGGUGGUAAAUCUGGCUUUCAAUGACCAUGGUAUAUAUAAUUGCUGCAUUUAAGAAAUUCCAUGCAGUUGUUUCUAGGGAUAUUUGGACUUUUCUAUUCCAGUUCUACUAUGCUAUACUUGUAGAACUGGACUAGAAAAAUGCAGCUGACUACACACUCGAUCCAAAUGUCCUCCCAAUUGGUUAUGGUAUUAACUUGGUUUAAUAUUGAUGUUUUGGACAUUAUUCACGGCAUGGUUAAAAAGCCAUAAAAAUAAAACUUGAAGCAUGUGUUCUGAACA